rnacentral:rRNA from 1 species
CUGGCGGCGCGCCUAACACAUGCAAGUCGAACGGUUAAAAACAUCUUCGGAUGUGUAUAAAGUGGCGAACGGCUGAGUAACACUGGGCAACCUGCCCUUUGCACUGGGAUAGCCUCGGGAAACCGAGGUUAAUACCGGAUACUCCAUAUUUGUCGCAUGGCGAAUAUGGGAAAGCUCCGGCGGCAAAGGAUGGGCCCGCGGCCUGUUAGCUAGUUGGUGGGGUAGUGGCCUACCAAGGCAAUGAUGGGUAGCCGGGUUGAGAGACCGACCGGCCAGAUUGGGACUGAGACACGGCCCAGACUUCUACGGGAGGCAGCAGUGGGGAAUCUUGCACAAUGGGCGAAAGCCUGAUGCAGCGACGCCGCGUGCGGGAUGAAGGCCUUCGGGUUGUAAACCGCUUUCAGCAGGGACGAGGCCGCAAGGUGACGGUACCUGCAGAAGAAGCCCCGGCUAACUACGUGCCAGCAGCCGCGGUAAAU